GUUAGGUUUCAGUCGGAAAGGAUGACAUCUAGAGCCACUGGAACUGCAUACUAUUUGUAUGAUGAUGUCGAACCGGUGAGUCUGGGACUAAACAUCUCACUCAUCAGCCAAUUGAUGGAGCACCCAGACCACACCAGGCAUGUUGAUGAAGUGGUAGAAUGAGGUGGGCUCGCAACAAUUUCAGGAAGGUAGACAAGAAAUCCAGGUGUGCUAUCCUAACUGGGUGUCAGUGAGGUGUGUUGGCAUCAGAUCCCUGUGUUAAAAAAGGGAAUCCUUGCCGACAAGGACGGGGGAGAUUUCUGUUUUGGCAUUAAUACCCUCAUGCCAUCUUGAAAUUCUGGCAACAACAACUAGGAAUCUAUCUUGGCUGCCCAUCUUCCCCCUCCUCAGGAACGGUCCCUGAACUUUGGGGAACCAAAGGGAGGAACUACACACAACACUGAACAGGUUUAUCUGGCGUCUGCAAC